AAACUUAAAUGAAUUGACGGGGCCGCACAAGCGUGGAGCAUGUGGUUUAAUUCGACGCAACGCGAAGAACCUUACCAGGGCUUGACAUCCCCUGACCGCGUAUGAAAGUACGUUUCACCCUCGGGUGACAGGGAGACAGGUGGUGCAUGGUUGUCGUCAGCUCGUGUCGUGAGAUGUUGGGUUAAGUCCCGCAACGAGCGCAACCCUUAUUGCUAGUUACCAUCAUUGAGUUGGGGACUCUAGCGAGACUGCCAGCGAUAAGCUGGAGGAAGGUGGGGAUGACGUCAAAUCAUCAUGCCCCUUAUGACCUGGGCUACAAACGUGAUACAAUGGCUGGAACAAAGGGAGGCGAAGGGGUGACCUGGAGCGAAACCCAAAAAUACAGUCUCAGUUCGGAUUGAAGUCUGCAACUCGACUUCAUGAAGUCGGAAUCGCUAGUAAUCGCGGAUCAGAACGCCGCGGUGAAUACGUUCCCGGGCCUU
rnacentral:rRNA from 1 species